rnacentral:rRNA from 1 species
AUACGGAGGGGGCUAGCGUUGUUCGGAAUUACUGGGCGUAAAGCACGUGUAGGCGGAUCGUUAAGUCAGGGGUGAAAGCCCGGAGCUCAACUCCGGAAUUGCCCUUGAUACUGGCGAUCUAGAGGCCGGGAGAGGUGAGCGGAAUUCCCAGUGUAGAGGUGAAAUUCGUAGAUAUUGGGAGGAACACCAGUGGCGAAGGCGGCUCACUGGCCCGGUUCUGACGCUGAGACGCGAAAGCGUGGGGAGCAAACAGGAUUAGAAACCCUAGUAGUCC